AGGCCAAGUCGUGACUGGCGUGCUGGGGUGGAAUCAACCACCGGGGAGCGACCGAUYGGCACGGCACCGUGCGCCUGGGUGUCACCG
rnacentral:ncRNA from 2 species